CUACGGGGCGCUGCAGUGGGGAAUAUUGCACAAUGGGGGAAACCCUGAUGCAGCAACGCCGCGUGAGUGAAGAGGGCUUUCGAGUCGUAAAGCUCUGUCCUAUGGGAAGAAUAGAUGACGGUACCAUAGGAGGAAGCCCCGGCUAACUACGUGCCAGCAGCCGCGGUAAUACGUAGGGGGCAAGCGUUAUCCGGAAUCAUUGGGCGUAAAGGGUGCGUAGGCGGCCAGACAAGUCAGAGGUGAAAGGCUACGGCUUAACCGUAGUAAGCCUUUGAAACUGUUUGGCUUGAGUGCAGGAGAGGAAAGUGGAAUUCCUAGUGUAGCGGUGAAAUGCGUAGAUAUUAGGAGGAACACCAGUGGCGAAGGCGACUUUCUGGACUGUAACUGACGCUGAGGCACGAAAGCGUGGGGAGCGAACAGGAUUAGAUACCCUGGUAGUC
rnacentral:rRNA from 1 species